ACAGAGUCAAGACUAACGAUAAGAGUCGGCAGAAAGAGAUAGCUGGGCAUUCUCGGCCACCAAACUAAAGUUCGAGAUCGAACCCUUUCCUAAUGAGUUUCCUUUACAAGAUUUCCAACUUAUCGAAAGCAGAGUUGUUAAGGAUUGUCUCUGGGAAUCGAGAUCAAAGAAUGAGCCGCGUGCUCCAUCCAUGAGAUGGCUUUGUCACAACAUUCGCAUAUAUUGCAGUAGAAGCAAUGGCUGAUAGUGGGGUAGCUGCAGCCUUACCACAAGAAAUUGCAUUGAAACUAUUACUAUUAGAAAUAGCGAGGAUUAGGAUUCCCCAUGGUGGUAGAAGGAUCUCUACCAGCAAGCCGGAGGCAGAAGUUCCUAAAAUGACGCACAUUCUCCUGCCUAUAUGGAGGUAGCUUGUGUUGAGAGUUGGUUGGCUUAUCCCUGCCAAUGUUAAAGCGUAACCAAUCACAAGUACAAUAAAAGAUGACAUAAUUGCACCAUGCGUUUGAAAUGGGUUGCCAGAGUUUUGAUACUUGACUUGUAGAAGGGCAAGCAGCGCUAAAAUGAGAAAACCUAAAGUAGUAUGGACUUUGGUGGAGGAACCAAGUUGUUGUCGACUGUGAAAAACAGAGAGGAAAAAAAACAUAGAAUUGCCUCAGAUUACAUGCAAUAUUAAUGGAUAUACAGUUGAUGAAUGAGCAGAAGGAAUAUCCAUGACAUUCGAUUUGCCAACAAAAUAUUUUCUUGUAAUUAGAUUAAUGCUCAUAUUUAAUUUAGAGGUGCAAGUUAAAUUAUUUGCCAAGUCUUUCAA